rnacentral:misc_RNA from 1 species
GCAUCAGGGUAUGUUUUUGCUCCUGCACUCAAAAGAUCAACUAAUUGUAUCAGAAGAAAUCAAGCAAAAUGACGAAAAAUAAGUCGUAUAGCCAAUCCAAGAUUGAUUGGGAUUGAAAAUGAGUUGAGUUGGUAAGUGUUUUUACUUUGUUUACUACAUCUUCUAUCAGAUCAUUUCCCAGAGAAACAUGCUUAUAAUCUAAAAUGAUUGUGGAAAAAUAUCGUUUACAAGGUUGAGAAUCAUCUCCAUAGUUUCAUUAAGAGUUGGUUGUAAGAGAAGACCAAUUACAUAUCCUGGAUUUAAUGUAACCAAGUUAAUUGAAUUCUCUUUUGCAAAUCUCCAAGCUGCCUCCUCUGCUAAGGUU